rnacentral:rRNA from 1 species
UACGGAGGGUGCGAGCGUUGUCCGGAAUCAUUGGGCGUAAAGGGCGCGUAGGUGGCCCGGUAAGCGUGCGGUGAAAGCUUGGGGCUCAACCCGAGUCGGCCGUGCGAACUGCUGGGCUUGAGCACUGUAGAGGCAGGCGGAAUUCCGGGUGUAGCGGUGGAAUGCGUAGAGAUCCGGAGGAACCCCAGAGGCGAAGGCGACGCCCUGGCUCGUACCUGACGCUCAGCCACGAAAGCAUGGGGAGCGAACGGG